CGGAGGAAAAGAAACCAACAGGGAUUGCCCUAGUAACGGCGAGUGAAGCGGCAACAGCUCAAAUUUGAAAGCUGGCUCCGGCCCGCAUUGUAAUUUGCAGAGGAUGCUUCUGGUGAGGUGCCUUCCGAGUUCCCUGGAACGGGACGCCAUAGAGGGUGAGAGCCCCGUAUGGAUGGACACCAAACCUGUGUGAAGCUCCUUCAACGAGUCGAGUAGUUUGGGAAUGCUGCUCUAAAUGGGAGGUAAAUCUCUUCUAAAGCUAAAUACCGGCCAGAGACCGAUAGCGCACAAGUAGAGUGAUCGAAAGAUGAAAAGCACCUUGAAAAGGGGGUUAAACAGUACGUGAAAUUGUUGAAAGGGAAGCGCUUGUGACCAGACUUGCGCCGGGCAGCUCAUCAGGGGUUCUCCCCUGUGCACUCUGCCCGGCUCAGGCCAGCAUCGGUUCUCGUGGGAGGAUAAGAACGGUAGGAACGUGGCCCCCUUCCGGGGGGGUGUUAUAGCCUACCGUACGAUACUCCCGUGGGGACCGAGGUUCGCGCUCCGCAAGGAUGCUGGCGUAAUGGUCAUCAGCGACCCGUCUUGA
rnacentral:rRNA from 1 species